AGAGAGGCCGCGUGUUUUUUUGACAGAUAAACCACAUAGAUAGCGAAGAAAUCAAGUGAAUAAAAACGAGAAUAUAAAAACAGAAUCGCGCAUAUGUAAGAACGCUGUUGUACAGAUGGUGUGCAUCUGCAAGCGGUAUCUUUUUUUCGGCACCAAGCGAACAAUAUGCAGACGACGCACAGCGACGGGUAUUCAACGUAAUCGUUCGGUAGAGCUUGAGACUCUUAAUCUCAGGGUCGUGGGUUCGGGCCCCACGUUGGGCGCCAAAUGUUGCCUCGAGCAACAGAAUUUGUUCAACUCGAAAAAGUCCACGAAUAGUAAACGUAAAAGUUCUUUUAACACUUUAUUCAACGUUAUUACAAAUUCUUAUGUUACAAAGGCCAGAUCAAUUAAAAAAACGGUUUUAUUUAUUUCAUUAUUGUUAUAAAAUUUUUUAUAUUUGUUCAUUAUAUUAGUUAUAACAUUAUUGAACCUCAAUUUAUACCCCCUCAAAGUAAUUAAACAUCUUCCUUAUUCCAUUCAUAUAUAACAGGAAGGAUUUAUAACUCUCGUGUGUGUCACGUUAUCACUCGGUAUUUAUUGCGUCUUAUCACUAUAACUGUCAGCGAUGCUUUGCUUUGUUCCCUAAUUCUAUAUCCGGUUGCCAACGCAGUUGGCAUAACUCGAUUCAGUGGAAGGUUGGGGUGCACAGCGACAGGUGGCGUACCUGCUAUAAUUUGUUACCUGCUAGGCGAAGAUCGCUAGAACUGGUCUAACGCGAAUCGAACGGUUAGAACUGGUC